UACGAGGGGGGCAAGCGUUGUUCGGAAUUAUUGGGCGUAAAGGGUGCGUAGGUGGUUCGGCAAGUCUUAUGUGAAAUCUACAGGCUCAACUUGUAGUCUGCAUGAGAAACUGCCGGGCUUGAGUAUGGGAGAGGUGAGUGGAAUUCCUGGUGUAGCGGUGAAAUGCGUAGAUAUCAGGAGGAACACCUGUGGCGAAAGCGGCUCACUGGACCAUAACUGACGCUGAUGCACGAAAGCUAGGGGAGCAAACAGG
rnacentral:rRNA from 1 species